rnacentral:rRNA from 1 species
UACGUAGGGGGCUAGCGUUGUCCGGAAUCAUUGGGCGUAAAGAGCGUGUAGGCGGCCCGGUAAGUCCGCUGUAAAAGUCAAAGGCUCAACCUUUGAAAGCCGGUGGAUACUGUGGGACUAGAGUACGGAAGAGGCGAGUGGAAUUCCUGGUGUAGCGGUGGAAUGCGCAGAUAUCAGGAGGAACACCAAUAGCGAAGGCAGCUCGCUGGGACGUUACUGACACUGAGGAGCGAAAGCGUGGGUAGCAAACAGG